GACGAACGCUGGCGGCGUGCCUAACACAUGCAAGUCGAGCGGGGUUGAAGCGAGGGGUAACUCGAGUUUCUACCUAGCGGCGGACGGGUGAGUAACGCGUGGGCAACCUGCCUCAAGGUCUGGGAUAACAGCCCGAAAGGGCUGCUAAUACUGGGUAUGCUUGUGGCCUCGCAUGGGGCUAUGAGCAAAGGGGAAACCCGCCUUGAGAUGGGCCCGCGUCCCAUCAGCUAGUUGGUGAGGUAACAGCUCACCAAGGCGACGACGGGUAGCCGGCCUGAGAGGGUGACCGGCCACACUGGGACUGAGACACGGCCCAGACUCCUACGGGGGGCAGCAGUGGGGGAUCUUGCACAAUGGGCGAAAGCCUGAUGCAGCGACGCCGCGUGAGCGAAGAAGGCCUUCGGGUUGUAAAGCUCUGUCUGGAGGGACGGAAGGAAGUGACGGUACCGUCCGGAGGAAGCCACGGCUAACUACGUGCCAGCAGCCGCGGUAAAUCACGUGUA
rnacentral:rRNA from 1 species